CCGAGUGAGGGCCCCUUCGGGUCCAACCUCCCACCCGUGUUUAACGAACCUUGUUGCUUCGGCGGGCCCGCCGUAUGGCCGCCGGGGGGCACCUGCCCCCGGGCCCGCGCCCGCCGAAGACACCUGUGAACGCUGUCUGAAGUUGCAGUCUGAGACAACUAGCUAAAUUAGUUA
rnacentral:misc_RNA from 1 species